UCUGUAUAUCUGUAGCAUCUGCAGAGGUUGUGUUAUGAAAUCAUACUUGAAUGAUACCCAGAUAUUUUAAAAAAGAAGUAUUUUCACAUUCCUCCCUCUGGGUAUGGUUUUUUUUUCUCUUAUGUGUGGUUGAUUUCCUGUGGGCUAGGUUCUGAAUUCUAGAAGGCAAAGCUUCAGGAAGGAGCUGUGACAAGUUGCCCGGUUUGAAAUCUCCUGCGUACAUAAUCACUGUAGCAGAUAUAAUUGGAGCUAAUUUCAUAUUUCCUGCAUAUCAUAUUGGAAAAUUGAGCUGUCAUAUCUAUUUAAAGGCUACAUGCCCAAAUGAGAACACCCAAGGCUUGUUUCUUUCAAUACAUUUCUGCAGGAGGAUUUCUUCUCUCAUGAACUUCAAGACUUGUACUAGAAGCCAAAUUUGUCUAGUUGAGUGCACUUUGAAGUUUACAUCUGCAUUGUCUAUGGAAUUUAGAAAAUGGACAGGGGACAAGCUGAGAAAGCAAAGCCAUUUUUGAGCUGUCCUUUUCCAUUAAAAAUCCCUGUACUUCCAGAGCAUUUUAAAUUGUGGGUUACUGUAAGGCCAGUAUGUUACACGUUGUGGGUUCAAGUAGGUCUUGUUCAUCUGUUAUCUGUGUGUCCUCUCAUACCUAUGUAAUCAAAGCAUGGUUAAUAGAAAUGGUUGGGAACCUGUCAGCCUGCCUCGGAGAGAAAUUAAGCUAUGUGCUAUGAACGUAUACCCCAGAAGAUAGGAACCCGCAGCUGUGGCACUUAUCAAUCAUCUAACCUGUCAACAACUUCUAUGUUUAUGUCCUUUCCCUGUGGCUUUUUCUGACCUUGUUUGCAUCUUGUGUGUUUUCACCAAAGAAGCUUGGCUGGGAGGAAGUGUGUGUGUGUGGGGGGGCCUCUAAGUGUACCCUUAUACAAGUAUGUAGGCUAGAGGACAACCUUGAAUACUGUUCCUCAUAAUUGCUACUCAUCCUAUUUUUGAUACCAUCAUCUAGGUGCUUGCCCAUUAGGCUGUGUUUCAACUGUUUAUCCUGAGACCAAGGAGUAUAGGAGAUCAUGUGUCCUGUAAGCAAGGGUUUUUUUUUUUUUCCCUUCAGUGGAGCAAAUUCCCCUCUUUCAUUUAUGCAGAAUGGAAAGGUGGAAUACAUGGUAGAGUUUCCUCUGAAAGAGUUCUUCCUGAGAGUUCUCUAAUCCUUAGAACCCAUGCCCAGCCAGUCCUCACAGAGCAGGGAAUAGUCAUUUGGAAACACUCGAAAUAGUCUUUCCCCAGGCAUUCCUCCCAAGUGUCCACAUCUUAGGCUCUGGCUCUAAUUGAAUGUUCCUAGUGAAUUCUCAUAAAUUCUGGCAUGGAUGCUCCCUCAAACCAAUACAGUGCAUUACAUGCAUAUCUCUGUGUGGACCAAGAGGAAGAGAAGAACUUCACAUAAACAGUAGGAUAGGAUGGCCCCAGACAAUGAUUGACUUUGCUGGGCUGAGUGUAAAGCUGGAAGAAUCCGCAUAAACGACCAAGAAAGGGAAUCAAGGGGGCAGUUGAAGAGUAGAGUUCUUAGCUUAUAAAGUUGUUUUGGCUCCAGUCAAUCUGUCAGAGGCUAAGCACUGUCUUCUGCACGAGUUCCUGUUCUUGCUGCUGUAAUCAAGUGCGUGACCAAAGCAUCUUAAGGGGCGGGGGGCGCAGAGGGGAGGACGGGUCUGCUGUGGCUCAUAGUUCAGAAUGCACAUUCCUACACAGCAGCAGAGUGGAGAGCCAGUGGCAAAUAGUUUAGCGUCUUCCAAAAAUGGACACUUUCUGUUCCUUCGUGAAUAAAGAAGGCAGAAUAGGUAAAGGAGAUGAGUUAGUUGAUAAUGCCCUCAACAGGACAUCUGGGGGAAUAAUGCAGCGCUGUCCUGUUUCCCUGUCCAGCCUGUGCUCAUGUCUCAUCCAAACUCCCAAGCCCUACACAGAAACCUCACGUUUUCCAGGGCUAAGAGGACUGAGCUCCAUGCAAACUGGUUGCUCCAAACUUACUCACAUUAAGUUCUCAUUGGUAACUUUGGGGGAUGGGAAAUAUCUAAUCCUGAACAUGUUUAUUUGUAAAAGUUGGAUUAAGGAGGUUGGUGCCUGGUGAGACAGCUUACUUGUUGCUUACGUGACAGGACCUGAGAUUAAUCCCCAAGAGCCAUAUUAUAAACACAUCUAGGCCUGGGUGGUGUACAUUGAAUAUAUGUAUCCUAUGGAAUCCAAUUAGUGUGGACCUUAUUUGCAUGUGUUUAUAGCUGACCACAUAGGACUGGGGUCUCUCAUCCCUG
rnacentral:lncRNA from 1 species